CACCGACGACUUGGCGCCCUCGACCGCGAC
rnacentral:sRNA from 1 species